UACGUAGGGUGCAAGCGUUUGUCCGGAAUUAUUGGGCGUAAAGAGCUUGUAGGCGGUUUGUCGCGUCUGCUGUGAAAUUUCGGGGCUCAACCCCGAACUUGCAGUGGGUACGGGCAGACUAGAGUGUGGUAGGGGAGACUGGAAUUCCUGGUGUAGCGGUGAAAUGCGCAGAUAUCAGGAGGAACACCGAUUGCGAAGGCAGCUCGCUGGGACGUAACUGACGCUGAGGAGCGAAAGCAUGGGGAGCAAACAGG
rnacentral:rRNA from 1 species